GGGUCUUUAGCUCAGUGGCGAAGCAUUUGACUGCAGAUCAAGAGGUUACCGGUUCAAGCCCGGUAGGGCCCU
rnacentral:tRNA from 1 species